rnacentral:rRNA from 1 species
UACGUAGGGUGCGAGCGUUGUCCGGAGUUAUUGGGCGUAAAGCGCGCGCAGGCGGUGCGGUAAGUCUCUGGUGAAAGCGCUCGGCUUAACUGGGCGAGGGCCGGGGAGACUGCCACGCUGGAGGGGAGCAGAGGCGAGUGGAAUUCCGGGUGUAGUGGUGAAAUGCGUAGAGAUCCGGAGGAACACCAGUGGCGAAGGCGGCUACCUGGACAAUUGCUGACGCUCAGGCACGAAAGCGUGGGGAGCAAAAGGG